rnacentral:rRNA from 1 species
UACGUAGGUCCCGAGCGUUGUCCGGAUUUAUUGGGCGUAAAGCGAGCGCAGGUGGUUUAAUAAGUCUGAUGUAAAAGGCAGUGGCUCAACCAUUGUGUGCAUUGGAAACUGUUAGACUUGAGUGCAGUAGAGGAGAGUGGAAUUCCAUGUGUAGCGGUGAAAUGCGUAGAUAUAUGGAGGAACACCGGUGGCGAAAGCGGCUCUCUGGCCUGUAACUGACACUGAGGCACGAAAGCGUGGGGAGCAAACAGG